rnacentral:rRNA from 1 species
UACAGAGGGUGCAAGCGUUGUUCGGAAUUAUUGGGCGUAAAGAGCGUGUAGGCGGCUUUACAGGUCCGUUGUGAAAACUCGAGGCUCAACCUCGAGACGCCGGUGGAAACCGUAAAGCUAGAGUCCGGAAGAGGAGAGUGGAAUUCCUGGUGUAGCGGUGAAAUGCGCAGAUAUCAGGAAGAACACCCGUGGCGAAGGCGGCUCUCUGGGACGGUACUGACGCUGAGACGCGAAAGCGUGGGGAGCGAACAGG